UCGCUUUGGGAGGAGCUCGCUUACUAUCAGCUUGUUGGUAGGGUAAUGGCCUACCAAGGCUAUGACGGUUAGGGGGUGUGAGAGCAUGACCCCCAGCAUUGGCACUGAAACACUGGCCAAACACCUACGGGUGGCUGCAGUCGAGAAUCUUCCACAAUGGGGGAAACCCUGAUGGAGCGAUGCUGCGUGCGGGAUGAAGGCCUUCGGGUUGUAAACCGCUUUUGUAGGGGACGAAAUUUUUGACGGUACCCUUUCGAAUAAGAGGUUGCUAACUCUGUGCCAGCAGCAGCGGUAAUACAGAGACCUCAAGCGUUAUCCGGAUUUACUGGGCGUAAAGCGUCUGUAGGGGGUAUAUUAAGUUCCAAGUAAAAUUUCAAGGCUCAACUUUGAAUUCGCUUGGAAAACUAAUAAACUGGAGUCUAGCAGAGGUGCAUGGAACUUGUGGUGUAGGAGUGAAAUCCGUUGAUAUCACAAGGAACACCAAAGGCGAAGGCAUUGCACUGGGCUAGCACUGACCCUGAGAGACGAAAGCGUGGGGAGCAAAACGGAUUAGAUACCCGUGUAGUCCACGCCCUAAACGAUGAAUGCUAAAUGUUCGGGGAUUCGACCCCCUGGGUGUUACAGCUAACGCGUUAAGCAUUCCGCCUGGGAAGUACGGCCGCAAGGCUAAAACUCAAAGGAAUAGACGGGGAUCCGCACAAGCGGUGGAGCGUCUGGUUUAAUUCGACAGUAAGCGUGGUACCUCACCAGGGUUUGACAUCCCUUGACAGCCUUGGAAACAAGGUUUCCUUCGGGCAAGGUGACAGGUGCUGCAUGGUCGUCGUCAGUUCGUGCCGUGAGGUGUUCCGUUAAGUCGGGAAACGGACGAAACCCCUAUUGCAUGUUACAAUUUCUCAUGCAAGACUGCCCGGAUAUACUGGGAGGAAGGUGGGGAUGACGUCAGAUCUGCAUGGUCCUUAUACCCUGGGCGACACAGGCGCUACAAUGGCAGAGACAAAGGGUUGCAAAACCGCAAGGUGAAGCUAAUCCCAAAAACUUUGUCUAAGUUCGGAUUGAAGGCUGCAAUUCGCCUUCAUGAAGCUGGAAUCGCUAGUAAUCGUGAAUCAGCCACGUCACGGUGAAUAUGUUCCCGGAUCUUGUACUCACCGCCCGUCACACCAAGAGAGUUGGUAGCUCCCGAAGCGUCCCGUUUUAGCGGGGCAUCACGGAGAGAUCAGCGAU
rnacentral:rRNA from 1 species